AGGCAACUACAAAGUACCAAGCGUGCUAAAUCCUCAGUCUGUUUCUGUCACAUCACGACUAUAAAUACUCCCUUUAUUCUCGUUUUCUGUUUUUUUUUCGGGCGUCUAGAGAGAUAUCAAACAUCAAAUUACUCUGCCUCGUCGUGGCCUGGUACCAGCGUUUUUGGUCUCCCCGCGUGAGGCAUCGCAUACAAUCCAUUUCUCCCGUUUAGUUCGAUCACUUUUCUCAUGGUCAAGGAAUGUCGUCUCGGAAGCUAGUUCUUAGAUCCCUUUGGUUUGCUUUAAUCCGCGAGGAGAAGAAAACUGAAGAAAGCGAGAGCCCGAGCGCAACUGUUCCUCUGUGCCUGCGAAUUACUAGGUCAUCUUGUUUCUAGCGUCUUCUUAUGACCCAAACGAAGCAUUACGAUGUAGAAUCGGGUUAUUACAGAAUUCGCUUUCCAUCGGAGGAUAUUGGUGAUUGAUCACAUAGUUUGAAGCUCUAGAGCUUUGGGAGCUAGAAGUUCAUGUUUACCGAACUGCUGGAACAGUUUGCUGUAGUUGAGCAGAAGAGAUUCGAGUUGUACCCCAAUUUUGUAGCUCUUUCUGGUGCCUCAUUGUCUUGUUGCUGUGGCUGGCUGAGUUGAAGGUUGAUAGGUAUGCCUGCAUCCUCUCCAACACCAAGUCCAUUUGUAAGACUGCUUAUGUGUGCUCCAUUGGCAUCCUUCGUUCCAUAAACCUAGGAUGGUGAAAAUUUUCUCUUGAGGGUGACUAAGCAACUCAAAGUUUUAUUGGUUAACCGAUUAAAUCCUUUGGUUUUUCUUUUCUUGGGAUUUAAUUAAAGUUUGCCUCAGUUAUCUACAUCUAUACCUUUUUGUGUAAUUCCUGGUUUUCUUGACGAAUUAGGGUUACCUUCUCAUAAAGUUCCAUAUUGUUUUGGUGAAUAAAGUUUCCCUGUAACAAAGAGAAUGGAAUUUAGUAACCAAAAUAACUGAGAGCGGAAAUUUCAGAGCCGUAGUUCCUUAACCUUUCUGGUUAGUUCUUGUAUCUCAUCCACUAAGAUUUGAUCCUGCUCAAAGAAAUGAAAAGUUGUGUAAAACACCAAACCCAUUUAACAAAUAAUGCAGUUAGAUACCUUCUUCAUACGGACACCAUGGAGACUUAUCUCCAAUUGAUUUUCUAGAUUCUGUAGGUCUUUGACGCUCAGACCAGUCAGCUCUUCACCCAUCAUCUGCCUGUAACUAUAUCUAUUAGUGGUGUUCUAUCAGAAGGAAUUAGUGGUUUUCAUUUGAACUUUUCUAAGUUUUAUUUCCUUUCAAAUUGUAUAUCUGCUUUAACUUGAGCAAACAUGUGGAAGUAUGAUAGGCAAUAUACAUUUGGAUCAUGCUUGGUCAUCAAUAAAUGUUAUUCCCAUAUCUGAAUAAGUGUACAUGGUUAUGAGUUUGUGAAGUAAAUUUUUGGCUCAAUGCACUCAACGCUAUGGCCUAAGAAGUUGAAGGGAAGUCUCAUAUUUGCGAUUCACCCUAUUGCAUUUUCUUCUAGUAGUAUCGUUUAUCAAGUAAACAUAUAAUGAUGUAUAAUAUAAUAGGUAUGCUAGUACCGGUGAUUUUCAUGUAAGCUCUGCAGUUGCUGCCGUAAUGUUGCUGCUUCCCUUUGCCAGUACUGAUUAAAAAUCAGAGUGUAAUUUCUUUACUAUUUAGAAAUACAAGAGUAUGCCUUCUAUAUACAGGCGCAGAAAUGUUUUAAGCUAGCAUAGAGUUUAUUGGGAAGCAUGUAUGAAAAUGAAGGUACUUAGCAUGUUUAUUGUCGGUAAUUGUUCAGACACCAUUUCUAUCAUCAUAUGUAUAAAGAAUUGUUAUUUAAUGCAUGAAUAUUCAAAUACAAUAACAUGAACAUUCUUUUUCCACACUACAAACAGUAUAUACAUGUCUGCUUAUGAUCAUCAAUCUUUAAGUGAAAAAGUUAACCUUGAUACUAAAUUGGAUAUCGAGCCUGAAAUGCAUAUAUGUUGUGAAUGGAAAUUUUGAAUAUUUAAAUUUGACUAGUGUAACUGUUAUAUUGAAAUCUUAGAAUUCUUAAGUUUUUCAUUACAGAUGGCAAUGGAAUGUUAGCCUUCAGAUGGGCAUGGAAUCUCAUGUCUACACCUCAUUUCCUCUCAAAAUCCUUGCCUACAACCCUUGUUCGCUCAACAUCCUGGCCUACAACCCAUUUCCGAUUUACGGAAUCUGCAGGAGUCCAGAGAAUCCCAUUAAUGAAUUUGAGAAGACUUUCUUGAAACAUCGCUAGCUCAAGGGUCCAAGAUUCAUGCUGUCUAUGAUCGUUGUUCAGAAUUGUUCUUUCAACAUGGCAAGUACGUAGAAGGUAAAGCACGGAGAUACAGGUAGUCAUAGUGGUUUGACAUUGCAGAGCAAUGAUAUCCGGAUAAAACGUAGGUCGGGAGUGACUUGGUCAAGAGGGAUAGGUGGUCCAAUAGGUAAGUGCUAAAUUUUAUUUAUGAUCUACUGAUAUUUCACUUAGGUAAAUACCAUUUUUUUUCUCCACCGAUUAUCACUUAACCUAUCUAAUAGUUCUGCAUUUGGAUCUGUUUGGUAACAAUUUGGUUUUUGAAAAUUGUGCUUGUUUUCUUAUGCUUUCUUUACAAUGUUUUCAUCUUUUUUCAGAAUACAUUUGAUUUACAUGGCCAAAAGGUCGAGAAAGGUAUUGAAUACAUUUGAUUUCUUAACUGAACUCCAAAAAAAUAGUAGUUUUUCUAGAUUUAGAUUUAAAAAAUUGAAAACUAAAAACCAAAUGGUUAUCAAACUAGGACUUAAUAAUUGAAUAUAUUGGGUUUGAUUUUAUUUAAAGAUGUAUGCACCAUCCUGUUAGGUUCUGAUCACCAGCACACAGGAAAACCCAAUAGGAAUUGGCAAAUAUUCAAGAAGAAUAGGGAAACAGCCCUGUUUCUUAUAUAUUUAAAUCACGGAAACACCAGCUAAAGGACUACAAUAUAGAAAUAAUUGGCAAGAGAGGAAAUUUGUAAAGAACUCAAAGUUACAGCAAUACAACCUAUAUAACAGAUCCUGUUCAAAUAAAGUCGUCAAAGGAGAUUUGCAAAGAAUAACAAUAGGUUCAACAUAUUCGAGCAAGCUGAGAAUCCUCUCCAGGAAAGUCAAAGCUCACUCCCGGCCGACUACUCGAUAAGGGGUUUAGGGUUUUGAAUAAUCGACGGCAGGCUGGAAUUUUAGUGAGAGUUUUAGCUUUUUUGGAGAUGAUUCUCGGCUCUCUCAAAUGUGCUUAGUCUGAUUUUUAUCUUUGUGAAUUUCCAUUGUUGCUAGUUACUUUUUGUAUUGUGAUCGUGUAGCUUGUGAAGUGUUUCCGUGGAGUAAAUAUAUAAGAAAUAGGGGGUGUUUGCCCUGUUUUUCUCGGAUAUUUGCAUGUUCUUGUUGGGUUUUCCUGUGAACAGGUGAUUGGAUACCUAACAAAAAUUCAUUAAACUAAAAAGAGGACAGAAAUUAAAGAUAGUGACCAGAGCUUGGGGAUUUUGUUUAACUUAGAAUUAGAAUAGGUCAAAAUUAUGAUUAUAAGGUUAAACUGGUAAAUCUUCUGUUUGUGUAACAAAAUGUCAUUAACAAGAUGGAACUAUAAGCCAAAAGCUAAACGAGUUGGAGAGGAGUUUUCUUCAAUUGGCACAAAUCACUUGGAAUCUAUACUAUUUUGAAUAAGAGAAUUUUUGCUUUGAAUAUUGGAAAGAGACUAAUGUUUUAAGAUACAUACUCUGCAAGAGAGUGGAGAAGAACUUAAUGGAACAAAUAAUAAGCAUCAAAGAGAUUCAAUAAAGGAAAAAGGAAAAAACGCUUAGCAAACAAAACAAAGAAAAACUUGCAAAGAAAGAGCUGAAUAACGAAACACAACAAAAAAAACCAAGCCAAAAGACAACUCUUGAGUACCAUUAAAACCCUGAAACAAAAGGCCCAAAACUAGGGGGGAAAAUGAAAGAAGCUUCAACCAAAUAGAAAAAACCACCAAGUAAAAGAGCAGAACUGGGCCCAAAAACACCAAGAAAGAACCAGUGAACCCAAACCUCAGGAGAACAAACAAACAUAAAAAACGAAUUCCUUGUGAACUCAUGGGAGGAAUUGCACACAUCUCAAGACCACAAGCUUCACUCAAGCCCAUCUCUUAUAUUACAAAGAGCCCUUCCCUUCUAUCUACAAUACCCAGGAAAAUGCUCCUAAUGGCCUUAAACCUCAUUUCUUUCUAAUGUAAAAAAUGUCUCCCCCAAACCUUUCACACUUCGGAUGUGAAAGAGGAAAUAAUAUAAAGAUUCUCUAACCAGGUGUACUACUUUCAAGCUCUCCUAACUAUUCUUAUGAAUUAGCAUACAAACAUCAAAGUCAAGCAUACCCUGUAGGAGAAAUUCACACCUCCUCUUUCAUAUUAAGAUUCAUUUCUAGAUUAUAGAUUAAGAUUUCAAGACAAGCUAAGAGACGUAAUAUUAAGGAGUGCAGAAGCUCCUGUUGCCAAAAUGGCCCCAUUCUUGCGAAAUCUUCACAAAAAUAAACCAGUCCUCUCUAUUGGUCCGCUAAAAGGUCUACAACAGUUACCAUCAUCCAUAGCAAUCUGGGGAUGCUAGACUCAAAUUAUAGUUGAAAUGUUGAGCAUGGGUCUAUUUGCAUUUGUCUUUUUUUUCUUAACAGAAUCAAUAUUUGCAAGGGCAUACAGAAAAACUAGCCUACAAAACACCCAUUCUUAAAAAAGGAAUUCUAACUAAGUAAGAUGUUACUUAGAGAAUAAUUGCAAAAAAGUUUCCAUACUGAAGGCAAAAGGGCAAUUGUAAAGCUCUGCCAAACAAUAGUUACAACAAUGCUUGGAAACAUAAAUCAAAACAGAGGCAUUGAACUUGGUGAGAGACCUAAUUUCUUCCUGGGACCUACGCGUAAAAAAAUUUGCUAAUCCUCCCAAGUCGAACUGCCCCAUAAAACAAACUACACAUCGUAGAUAGUCUUUUAUUCCCAAAAAAGACUCUUAUUAAACAACAGUCUUGGUUACAAGCCAAGAAAAACACCAUAUGACUCAGAAAAAUAGCUCCAUAUUGAACGAACCAUCUGAGAUUGUCACAGGAGAUGAUCAGGAUGCUCAAGUACUUGGAGAAUCCUCAAUCCACCACUACGACCCGAUGAAAUGGAAGAACUCCUCUACAAGGUUCAUAGUGUCAACUCCCGUACAUGACUUGUCAAGUAAAAGAUUUGACAUUCAAAAUUUCAAAUCUGUUCGGUAACUAUUUUGUUUUUUGUUUUUGUUUUUUGAAAAUUAAACCUAUGGAUACUACUACUACUUAAUUUUUUUCCUUUUGUUUUCUACUUUUCACUAAUAGUUUAAAAAACCAAGCCAAACUUUGAUAAUUAAAAAAAGUAGUUUUCAAAAAGUUUUUGUUUUUGAAAUUUGGCUUAGAAUUCAAUCAUUGUACUUAAGAAAUAUGCACAUAUAAGCAAUGUGGAUAAAAUAGACUUACUUUUCAAAAACAAAAACAAAAAAUCAAAUGGUUAUCAAACAAGGUCUUCAUCAUUUUGAAGUUAGAGAAUAAAGUGUGCCUAGGAUGGAGGCUCCAUAAAAGAUGGAAGAAGAGCUAAAAGAACAUUUCCUUAAGACGGAUUGGAGGCCAAAGACGAAUAUAGGGAUCUCAUAACAAAGAAAGCAAAUCUAAAACGUCUGAAGUUUCUUUAUCCAAUAGAAGACGAUGAAAUUCAUAUAAAGCCAGCAAGAGACGUUUUUUAAUAAUUAAAUGAGAAGCACCCCCAUAUUUUGCUCUUCCUUAGAGACGUUCCUUAAGAUCUCUUCCUUCCUAAUUACUUUGAAAAUAGAGAAUUACUCCAGAAAAGCAUGUUUUCACUUGUUCAGGUUGUUAGAACUCAUUUACAUUAUCGAAUAUCAAGAAUCUGUUGGAUGAUAAUUUUUGUUUUAAAUCUUAUAUUUGAUACGAAUUAGGUCCUUAGUUUUUUCAGGUUUCUAAAUCCAUAUUUCUUUGUCGAAGCCAUAUUUUUUCGUCAACCUAAUCAUAGCUUAACCGACUUUGGCACGAAUCUUUACUUAAGAGGUUAAAGGUUCAAAUCCUCAUUUUAAUAUGUUAAACUAAAAAUCGUAUUUCUUUAUUUUUGUCAACUUUUUAAAAUAUUAUUUUUCAAAUAUUGACUUUCACAAAAAUUAAGAUUCUUCAUGAAUUGCUUAUUGAGACUAGGAGAGGGUUGUUUUCUUUACAUUGUUGAGAUUUUAUGUUCACUAGUAAUUGCCUUUCCGUCUAUUUUCAUAAGAUUUAUUUUCUUUGUCCUACUUUCUUUGUUGUAGGACAGAUUUAGUCUUGGAACUUUGAAAUUUGUAUUUAUUUAGUCUUGAAUUUCCAAGUGUUUAAUACGUUUCUAAACCUUCAAUUUUGUGUUUAAUGGGCCAGUGUCUAAUUUAAAAUUAUUGAUCUAGUAUUUAUAAAUUUGAAUUUUAUGUCUAAUAGCUCAAGGACUAAAUUUGCAAUUAGUUUAGAAAUUUAAAUAGUUAUAAACUCAAAGUUUGAGAUAGAGGAGAGAUAGCUUGUCAUAUCAAAUUCAUCUCACAAUAUUGUUGCAUGAUACACACACAUUCAUAACAUAACAUGGAUGUUUGCUUUUAUGUUUUUAAAAACAUUAAAUUCCAAUUCCAUACACCAUGUAUUUAAAUUAUUUUUCUUUUAACUUUUUACUCUGAUUACUUUUGAAGUUUUUGUUUGUUCACAAUAUAUUAUUGGGUGUGCAUUAGUUCAACUCAUUAAGUUAAAUAAAGCUUCCAAGUAUCAAAACCGUGUAUCUGAUUUUUCUCAAUUGAGAAUGAGUAUCAGAUCACCAUCUUUUAUUCUUAAUUUCAAUAUUUAUUUAUAUUGCUUUCUCGGGGAAAAAUAUUUUGUUAUCUUUCCUUUGAUUGUUCCAUGUGAUGAUGUCAUCUUUAGUUUUAUCACAACAGAAACCAUAAGUUCAUCUCAAUAGAUACCUUUUCUAUGUAUAUUUGUGAAAUUUUAAACAGACUAUAUAAAAACAAAAAAUUCUAUAGAAGUGAAAAUUUCUUGUGAAAUAAUAAAUUAAAAAGUUCUUGUGAUUAACACUUAUGAUGAUAUUUUAUUUUUGGUUUUCAUUAUCUGCCUCUAUAACCUACGUGUUAUACUUCGACUAGUGUUUUUGUCUAAAUAAUGAAGCUGUUUGAUAAUCACCUCGCUGUUUACAAAUUUACACUUUGAAUAAUGUUUAUAAAAUUACAAAUUAACUUUUAAAACAAAAUAAAUUUUGUUUUCGUAAGCAUACUCUACUAAAAUAUUUCUCAUUUUUCUUUCCCACUCACCUUAAUCUCUAAUAUUUACCUUUUUCAUCAACUUUUACUUUCCCCUUGCUAAAUCUCUCUAAACUUUCUAAGUUAGUUUUCGCUGUCUUAACUUCUUUUCUCCUUUUUUUUUCUUCAAUAUGUAUUCUUAUUUCUCUUUAAGUUUUUUCAUUCUAACGUCUCUUUCUAAAUUUUUUAUCCUUAUUUCUAGCGAUUUUUACGCUUGGUCAACAAAGUUUCCUCUAGCACAUCAUUAUAUAAUCUCAUUUUCUCAAUCAUUUGGUUUUUAGUUCAGUGACAUCAAUCCAUAAAUUUUGUUGCUUGUUACCUACUUUUCAAAGACAUUUUCAAAAUCAAGUCAAGUUUUAAGAAUCGAAAAUUAUAUGGAUUUUGAGAAUCAAUUUCUAUACAUUCUAGUUUCACUCAAAUCUUUAUACGUCAAAUGUAAAAAACUUGUUUUUAUUGUGAGAAUGUCUGAAAAUUCAAAUAUUUUUUUUUUAACGAAUGUAAUAAAAAAAUAAUUAAAAAAAUUUAAAGCUUAAUUUUAAAAAUUAAAAAUUAAAUCAAUGUCAAAUGGAGCUACCAAAGUAGUUUUUAAAAUUUUUGUUUAUCUGCGAAUUUGUCUUUAAGAAAGAUAAAAACCAAACUUAAUUUCAAAACUGAGCCCAAAAGUGUAUUGUUGAUUUUCGACAGUUGUCAUGUAAUGUAAUAUCUAUACCUUCUGUUCAGCGAGGAAAAGAAAAACUAGAGUAGGAAAAGAAAAUGAUUCAUAAUAGCAUUAUUCUAUUUCAUAUAAACUGCGGGCAGGCUCUACAUUGUUAUUAAUAGCUCGAUAAUCUUCCUUAGAAAAUAGUGGCACAUCAUAACCUAAAACAUAAAUCGAAUAUUUGUAUGAGCCAAGAGCAGAAACUUAUAAAAAGUCAAAACAUAGAAUCUCUUGUUCUUAUACAUCGAAAUGUUUGGAGCAUGUGCACCCAUCUCUUCAGCACUUCCGACCAGCCCUUCCAAUUCAGUAAUUGUUAUGAGGAGCCUUAGGAUAGCCGCUACAAAGGGGAAGAGUGAAACCAUGCAUUAUGGAUUCUAUUACUGGCUAUGAUUCUAGGAAGUGGUCUCAAAUGUUUUUCUCCUCACAUCCUCUGUUUCAUCUAGGGUCUAAGGACGGUAUGUGUUGUGCUUAGACAUUGGUUUUUUUCUCCUUUUUUCCUUAUUUACAACAAAGUUUUUUUUCUUUUUGUUCGUUUAUAUUUUUGUAAUUUUAACUCUGUACUUUUGAGGAUUUUGUUUUAUUUUAUUUUUACAUAAUGUAUAUUUUGGAAAAUGAUUCAAGUA